rnacentral:rRNA from 1 species
UACGGGGGGAGCAAGCGUUGUUCGGAUUUACUGGGCGUAAAGGGCGCGUAGGCGGUCAGCACAAGUCAGUUGUGAAAUCUCCGGGCUUAACUCGGAAAGGUCAACUGAUACUGUGCGACUAGAGUGCAGAAGGGGCAACUGGAAUUCUCGGUGUAGCGGUGAAAUGCGUAGAUAUCGAGAGGAACACCUGCGGCGAAGGCGGGUUGCUGGGCCGACACUGACGCUGAGGCGCGAAAGCCAGGGAGCGAACGGG